rnacentral:rRNA from 1 species
UACGGGGGGGGCAAGCGUUGUUCGGAAUUACUGGGCGUAAAGGGCUCGUAGGUGGCCAACUAAGCCAGACGUGAAAUCCCUCGGCUUAACCGGGGAACUGCGUCUGAUACUGGAUGGCUUGAGUUCGGGAGAGGGAUGCGGAAUUCCAGGUGUAGAGGUGAAAUUCGUAGAUAUCGAGAGGAACACCGGUGGCGAAGGCGGCCUUCUGGACAGUGACUGACGCUGAGACGCGAAAGCGUGGGGAGCAAACAGG